rnacentral:rRNA from 1 species
UACAGAGGUGGCAAGCGUUGUUCGGAAUUACUGGGCGUAAAGGGCGCGUAGGCGGUCUUGUAAGUCCUGUGUGAAAGCCCUGGGCUCAACCCAGGAAGUGCACUCGAAACUGCGAGGCUAGAGUACUGGAGAGGUUGGUGGAAUUCUCGGUGUAGAGGUGAAAUUCGUAGAUAUCGAGAGGAACACCGGUGGCGAAGGCGGCCAACUGGACAGAUACUGACGCUGAGACUCGAAAGCGUGGGGAGCAAACAGG